rnacentral:lncRNA from 1 species
AGCAUGCAGUAUGGGAGAAAGACGGAGGCUGGAAGACUCAGCCAGUCUAGUCUUCAAGUUCCUCUGCCUGCUUUUUUCUAGCUGCACUGGCAGCUGAUUAGAUGGUGCCCACCCAGAUUGCAGGUGGGUCUGCCUCUCCUAGUCCACUGACUCAAAUGUUUAUCUCCUUUGGCAGCACCCUCACAGACAUACCCAGGAACAAUACUUUGCAUCCUUUGAUUCAAUCAAGUUGACACUUAAUAUUAUCCAUCAUAGGCACCCUGGGCUAUAAUUGUUGAACCUAUUGUUUCUAUAUUAAAUAGAAUAAGAAAACUAUUACAUUAAAGGUAAGUUAUUAUAUUGAAAGAACUUGGAAUUAGAAUCAGUUUAAUUGCCUACUACCUAAUUUUCUAACUACAUAACAAUGGAAAAUAUCUCUAAGCUAUUUUUCUUCUUUUUAAAAAAAUUUCCAAUGAAGUAGGGCUAAUGCCAUCUCUCUUACAUUGUUGAGCGGAAUAAUGUAAUUAAUGUACUUAAAAAGUUAACAUGUAGCUUCUGAAGUUCAGCAAUGUAAUCUAUUUGUCUCCCUUUCUAUUACAGUUUUCUGUCUUCUCAGUUGAUACUUCCUAUGAAAGAGUAUCUAUUACUGCCAGGUUUUCCCAUGGUUCUGUCUCAUCUCUAGUGCCAACUUUCCUUUUCUGCCACCUUUGAGAUCAAAGAAGCAUGCUGGUCUGCCAAAAUACCUUUGUGGGCCAGGAAACUACUCAGCUUGGAAAACAGGUGACCCUGAUGCCUGCAUUAAAAACAACAGCAGCAACAACAACAACAACAACAACAACAUAGGUGAUUCUGAUGAUCACCAGGAUUGAAAACCACUGGACCAUUGCUUUGAGAGAUGGUGCCAUGGCCAGAGACAGAGGUCCACUAUCCAUUGGUUGAUAUCCAUUCUUCUGUGGAGAAUCCUGCUGGCCUUACCUGUAUGACCCUACUGGAUAUGAAUGAGAAAGAACAUAUUGAAAUUGAGAAAAGAAGAUUUACAUGA